UACGAAGGGGGCUAGCGUUGCUCGGAAUCACUGGGCGUAAAGCGCACGUAGGCGGAUCGUUAAGUCAGGGGUGAAAUCCUGGAGCUCAACUCCAGAACUGCCUUUGAUACUGGCGACCUUGAGUUCGGGAGAGGUGAGUGGAACUGCGAGUGUAGAGGUGAAAUUCGUAGAUAUUCGCAAGAACACCAGUGGCGAAGGCGGCUCACUGGCCCGAUACUGACGCUGAGGUGCGAAAGCGUGGGGAGCAAACGGG
rnacentral:rRNA from 1 species